UAAAAGUUGCUGAAUGAAAAGAGUGAUGAUGUUUGAUCUUAGAUAUAUAUCUAGUGCCUGUAGUUAUAACAUUGGUUACUGACUAGUGUUGUUUCAUGAGCAAUCUAGAGACAUAUGAAUGAUGCAAAAUUGUAAUUUGUUGAACUGAACAACUGCAUGUUUCUUGUAUGUCAAAAUUAAAAUAUAUUUGACUUCAGAUGGAAUUCAAAACAAUUCUAAUUUGGUACUUGAGAUUUAAUAUUCAGAGUUUCUAAAUUUCUGAUUUGCAUUGUACUUAUAAUAUGGAUCAUCUGCACUUGUUUUGCAGUUGCCAUGGCUAGUAGCUCGCGUGUGCUACCCUCCCAAACUUCUGGUGCUGUUGUGGCUGAUACUGGUACUGACGGGGAUGAUGUUGUGCACAUAUCAGAUGGUGAGGAAGAAGCUCGUACUGGUACU
rnacentral:lncRNA from 1 species